rnacentral:rRNA from 1 species
UACGUAGGGCGCAAGCGUUAUCCGGAAUUACUGGGCGUAAAGCGUGCGCAGGCGGUUAUGUAAGACAGUUGUGAAAUCCCCGGGCUCAACCUGGGAACUGCAUCUGUGACUGCAUAGCUAGAGUACGGUAGAGGGGGAUGGAAUUCCGCGUGUAGCAGUGAAAUGCGUAGAUAUGCGGAGGAACACCGAUGGCGAAGGCAAUCCCCUGGACCUGUACUGACGCUCAUGCACGAAAGCGUGGGGAGCAAACAGG